ensembl:rRNA 5S_rRNA 5S ribosomal RNA
GCCGGCAGCUAGCUCUCUGCAGCUCUCACAUGGUCGCCCACUAAAGCUAAGCACAACUGCGCCCAGUCAGUACUUGAAUGGGAGACCACAUGGGAAAGCUAGGUUGCUGCUGGAA